rnacentral:pre_miRNA from 1 species
GAGACACCCUUAUGGGGCAAGACUUGCUUCAGUGGGGCUUUGGUGCUCACUGAGUCUGCCUUCUGAGUGUGUCCCU